ensembl:lncRNA
AUGUUCCCCAGAUAUGAUGGAAGAUUGCUUCCCAAGACCAGCACUAAAGAAUCCAGUGAGGACUCCAAGUGGAAGCGUAUUCCAUUCCUUAGGAAGGUGGAAUGCUCAUUUUCACAGAUACAAUUUCAAAUUAGAAUUGAAGUAUGGGAGUACUUAUUUGCAAUAAUGUCUACUGUGAGUUGGAAAAGGAAAUGGCAACCUACUCCAGUAAUCUUGCCUGGAAAAUCCUAUAGACAGAGGAGCCUGGUGGGCUAUCACCCAUGCAGUUGCAAAGAGUUGGGUACAACUGAGCACACACAUGUCCCAUUGCAAGUAGAGAUGUUUCACCUUAUACCCUCUCUCUGGCAAACACUUUUGUAGAGAAUGAAAUCAAGUCAAAGGAACCCCAGUCAAAUAGCUUCCCAGCUUCCUAGGGGGAUGGGAAGAUUGUUGGGAAACUAGAUCUAGAAUUCAGGUUUCUAGGCUUUCCAAUGUCAGGCUUCCAAAUGCUGCUUACCAGUGGUUCGGAGUCCUCUUGUGUCAGGAAUCCACUUGAAUUAUGAAUAAAAGUUAUGAAUACUCUCUCCAGGAGAAUGCACAUAUGCACAAGCCUAUGACAUGUGCACACAAUUUCAGUGACGUCACAAAUUCCCCGAAGUCUAUUGAUGGACUGUGGCCAUCUUGAAUGAUCUGGAGACCUCAAGUUAAAACUCACCCUUAGAACAAGGGUUAAUAUAACACUGAACUCAGUUACCAAUAUCAUCAAGACAUCCGGUUGCUAACCCAAGUACCGUAUGUCUCCAGAUAUUGUGGAGCUGACAUCCUCAGCUAUCCAAAACAUGACCCCAAAUCAAGGGGUCCAAAAAAAAGCUGUCCGAAUAGGCAAAAAUCAGUAAUUCAAAGACACACAGUGCACAGAAACAGCGCUGAACUGUUUUUUUUUUUUAAAUCAUGGUUCUAAGAUGAUUUAUGAUGACUCAACAGAAAAGGACACAAAUUAGAAGUGAGGGAAUAAGGAGAGAAAGGGGUAAUUAAUAACUGUAAUGAAUUAUCAUUGACAGGGUGACAUAAAACUGUUGCAAAACAACUGCAAAAAAACACAGAGAACUCAGUUUUUUUUCAGUCUUGGUUAUUUGGUGAAAAGGUAAACCACUCUACACAUGCUCUGUUGGGGAUGUCUUNNNNNNNNNNNNCAUAUGACAGAAAGUGGUUAAUGAUUUUUUAAAUCUUAUUUAUGUUUUUUAUAUCUUUUAUAUAUUAAACUGAUGGAAAAGCAUACUAUACAUCCUCAAACUUUUUCAACAUGAUUAAAACAAGAAAUACGUUUGUGUUUAAAGCAAAAAGGAAGAACUGAUAUUUAUUUGUGCAUCUUGAUGUAUGAAGCAUCUUUCACUAUCCCCUUCAGUUAUUUUAACAGGCAGGUGAAGUAGUAGUAUCUUCUUUUAGAGACCAAGAACUGAAGUUCUGAGAGCUUAGAACUCUCCCAGAACUCGCCCAGAAUCAAACAACUCUUGAGAAGUGAAACCGAGAUUCAAAUCCAGUCCAAGUUUUUCCCUUUAAGGGGAAAAUUCAUUUAUCUGGAGUAAUUUAUUCAUAUGGAAUUUUCUGAAAAGAUCCAAUAAAUGAGUUUCACCCCACAAAUUCUCUAUGUUAAUUAGUUCUUGUCAACAUUCUACCAGGCUAAAAAUCAGAUGAAGAGUCAGAAAAGAUAAGCCCUUUGUUUACUUUGUUAUAUUUUGGGUUUUAUCCUAAAAAGAUUUUUGAAGAGUUUAUUAAAAAUGCUCACCAAUGGCCCCUUCUUAACAGGAGACAUGUUAAGCCAUUUAUCUUCUAUUUCUAUUUUAUUUUUUAUUAUGGAACAAAGGUAAAAAUGCACAGGAAGGUCACUAACACCUAAGUUUGUGAAUUCUCAAUUCUGGGGCAGAAAUAUUUCUCCUGAGAUUAAGAGCCAUAAUAUAAAGAUUUGAAAGAACUGUCUUCAAAUGUGUAUUACAUACACCACAUUAACAAAUUGAAAAAUAAAAGCCAUAUGAUUAUCUCAA